rnacentral:piRNA from 1 species
UGAAAGGUCUGCCUCCUUGGUCCUGGAA